UCAGGAUGAACGCUAGCUACAGGCUUAACACAUGCAAGUCGAGGGGCAUCAGGGAGAAAGCUUGCUUCUUGCUGGCGACCGGCGCACGGGUGAGUAACGCGUAUCCAACCUUCCCCCCAGUAGGGCAUAGCCCGGCGAAAGUCGGAUUAAUACCCUAUGUUUUUCCAAUGAGGACAUCUGAGCUGGAACAAAGAUUUAUCGCUGGGGGAUGGGGAUGCGUCCGAUUAGGUUGUUGGCGGGGUAACGGCCCACCAAGCCCGCGAUCGGUAGGGGUUCUGAGAGGAAGGUCCCCCACACUGGUACUGAGACACGGACCAGACUCCUACGGGAGGCAGCAGUGAGGAAUAUUGGUCAAUGGGCGUAAGCCUGAACCAGCCAAGUAGCGUGCAGGACGACGGCCCUAUGGGUUGUAAACUGCUUUUAUGCGGGGAUAAAGUGAGGUAUGUAUACCUUUUUGUAGGUACCGCAUGAAUAAGGACCGGCUAAUUCCGUGCCAGCAGCGGC
rnacentral:rRNA from 1 species